rnacentral:tRNA from 1 species
GAGGGUAUAGCUCAUUGGUAGAGCAGGUGUUAGCAUGCAUGUGGUCCUGGGUUCAAUCCCCAGUACCGCCA